UUCUACUUCAUCUUCUUUUCAUCUCAGUUUGGAUUGGUUUUCAGUAAAAAAAAAAGUCUGAAUUCAUGAAAUCUUCAUCAGUUUGGUAUAGAUCGGUUUUUACUAUUUUAUACUCAAUCAUCCAUGCAAUCCUUGAAGCUCUUCACUCAAACUCUUCGAUGCUCCUUCCAACAAUUGGACCCCCUUGAACACAAGAACUUUUGAAAGAACCCUCAAUACCGUUCGAGGUGGAAUGAAAUUACUCGAUUCACUUUAAAUCCUUGAUUCCCAAUCAAUAUCCUUGAAAGAAAUCAAAUUACAAUCCAUAUAGCACCUGUUAUCACGAUUUUCG
rnacentral:lncRNA from 1 species